rnacentral:rRNA from 1 species
ACGGGGAGCAGCAGUGGGGAAUAUUGCACAAUGGGGGAAACCCUGAUGCAGCCAUGCCGCGUGUAUGAAGAAGGCCUUCGGGUUGUAAAGUACUUUCAGUCGUGAGGAAGACAUUGUAGUUAAUAGCUGCAGUGUUUGACGUUAGCGACAGAAGAAGCACCGGCUAACUCCGUGCCAGCAGCCGCGGUAAUACGGAGGGUGCGAGCGUUAAUCGGAAUUACUGGGCGUAAAGCGCAUGCAGGCGGUUAGUUAAGCGAGAUGUGAAAGCCCGGGGCUCAACCUCGGAACAGCAUUUCGAACUGGCUAACUAGAGUCUUGUAGAGGGGGGUAGAAUUUCAGGUGUAGCGGUGAAAUGCGUAGAGAUCUGAAGGAAUACCGGUGGCGAAGGCGGCCCCCUGGACAAAGACUGACGCUCAGAUGCGAAAGCGUGGGGAGCAAACAGGAUUAGAUACCCUGGUAGUCCACGCCGUAAACGAUGUCUACUUGGAGGUUGUGGCCUUGAGCCGUGGCUUUCGGAGCUAACGCGUAAU